UUCGAUAGUUUGAUCCUGGCUCAGGAUGAACGCUAGCGGCAGGCUUAACACAUGCAAGUCGAGGGGUAGAGAGUGCUUGCACUCUUGAGACCGGCGCACGGGUGCGUAACGCGUAUGCAAUCUACCUUUUACAGAGGGAUAGCCCAGAGAAAUUUGGAUUAAUACCUCAUAGUAUUAUUAAUUGGCAUCAAUUGAUAAUUAAAGCUGAGGCGGUAAAAGAUGAGCAUGCGUUCUAUUAGCUAGAUGGAGUGGUAACGGCACCCCAUGGCAACGAUAGAUAGGGGCCCUGAGAGGGGGAUCCCCCACACUGGUACUGAGACACGGACCAGACUCCUACGGGAGGCAGCAGUGAGGAAUAUUGGACAAUGGGCGAGAGCCUGAUCCAGCCAUGCCGCGUGCAGGAAGACGGUCCUAUGGAUUGUAAACUGCUUUUAUACGGGAAGAAACACCCCCUCGUGAGGGGGCUUGACGGUACCGUAAGAACAAGGAUCGGCUAACUCCGUGCCAGCAGCCGCGGUAAUACGGAGGAUCCAAGCGUUAUCCGGAAUCAUUGGGUUUAAAGGGUCCGUAGGUGGAUAAUUAAGUCAGAGGUGAAAUCCUGCAGCUCAACUGUAGAAUUGCCUUUGAUACUGGUUAUCUUGAAUUAUUAUGAAGUAGUUAGAAUAUGUAGUGUAGCGGUGAAAUGCAUAGAUAUUACAUAGAAUACCAAUUGCGAAGGCAGAUUACUAAUAAUUGAUUGACACUGAUGGACGAAAGCGUGGGGAGCGAACAGGAUUAGAUACCCUGGUAGUCCACGCCGUAAACGAUGGAUACUAGCUGUUCGGAGCAAUCUGAGUGGCUAAGCGAAAGUGAUAAGUUCCCACC
rnacentral:rRNA from 1 species